rnacentral:rRNA from 1 species
GAGUAACGCGUAGGUAACCUGCCUACUAGCGGGGGAUAACUAUUGGAAACGAUAGCUAAUACCGCAUAACAGCAUUUAACACAUGUUAGAUGCUUGAAAGGAGCAAUUGCUUCACUAGUAGAUGGACCUGCGUUGUAUUAGCUAGUUGGUGAGGUAACGGCUCACCAAGGCGACGAUACAUAGCCGACCUGAGAGGGUGAUCGGCCACACUGGGACUGAGACACGGCCCAGACUCCUACGGGAGGCAGCAGUAGGGAAUCUUCGGCAAUGGGGGCAACCCUGACCGAGCAACGCCGCGUGAGUGAAGAAGGUUUUCGGAUCGUAAAGCUCUGUUGUAAGAGAAGAACGUGUGUGAGAGUGGAAAGUUCACACAGUGACGGUAACUUACCAGAAAGGGACGGCUAACUACGUGCCAGC